AUGCAAGUCGAGCGGACAGAUGGGAGCUUGCUCCCUGAUGUUAGCGGCGGACGGGUGAGUAACACGUGGGUAACCUGCCUGUAAGACUGGGAUAACUCCGGGAAACCGGGGCUAAUACCGGAUGGUUGUUUGAACCGCAUGGUUCAAACAUAAAAGGUGGCUUCGGCUACCACUUACAGAUGGACCCGCGGCGCAUUAGCUAGUUGGUGAGGUAACGGCUCACCAAGGCAACGAUGCGUAGCCGACCUGAGAGGGUGAUCGGCCACACUGGGACUGAGACACGGCCCAGACUCCUACGGGAGGCAGCAGUAGGGAAUCUUCCGCAAUGGACGAAAGUCUGACGGAGCAACGCCGCGUGAGUGAUGAAGGUUUUCGGAUCGUAAAGCUCUGUUGUUAGGGAAGAACAAGUACCGUUCGAAUAGGGCGGUACCUUGACGGUACCUAACCAGAAAGCCACGGCUAACUACGUGCCAGCAGCCGCGGUAAUACGUAGGUGGCAAGCGUUGUCCGGAAUUAUUGGGCGUAAAGGGCUCGCAGGCGGUUUCUUAAGUCUGAUGUGAAAGCCCCCGGCUCAACCGGGGAGGGUCAUUGGAAACUGGGGAACUUGAGUGCAGAAGAGGAGAGUGGAAUUCCACGUGUAGCGGUGAAAUGCGUAGAGAUGUGGAGGAACACCAGUGGCGAAGGCGACUCUCUGGUCUGUAACUGACGCUGAGGAGCGAAAGCGUG
rnacentral:rRNA from 1 species